rnacentral:lncRNA from 1 species
AUUGUGGAAUUAAAUAAAUAAUUUUAUUGAAUAACUUAUAACAUAAAUCAAACUUCAUUACAAACCAUAAUGACAAUUAACAAACAUCAAUUGUUCAAAUCCCCAUCAUCGUUACAAAUAACCAUAAUAACAAUUAACAAACAUCAGUUGUUCAAAUCCCUAUCAAACUAAACUAAUACUAACUCAUGCAAGGUAACUCAAAUAUGUAUUAUUCGGAAUGGAAACUUAUAGUAUUAUGUAUUUGCUUGGCGAUUUAUAUUGUUGUCACCCAAUGAUACUCUUGAUGUCACUCGAUGAUCCUCUUACUUCACAAGUAAAGUAGACUCACUGUCAAGCUGAAAUAAUGAAAUAAAAAUAUUUGAUGAGAAACUUGUAGUCCAGUAGCAUUUCUCUGAUGAUAUGUCAAUCAUAGUAGGUGAACAUAUCCAAAAUGCUCAAAUUUAGUCACAGAGAAAGGGAAAGUACGGGUUACAUAAAAAAGAAACAAAAUAAAAAUCUUCUUGUGAAUAAAGUUGUCACUUGAUUUAAAAGGGGCAUUAUGCUGAAGUUGUUAGAAAUUCACACAGUAAGAGCUUAAUUACAUAUUUAUUGCCUCGUAUAUCAUAACAAAACUCAGUUGCACAGACACCAUUGCCUUUCUAGAUUUGAAAAAUAUUAGUGCCAAAAUAUAGUUAAACUCAAUUGGCUAACAUUAGAAUUAGAAUCAAACAAAUAAAGUAUUAUAAGUUGGUAAUCCAGCACAAUGACUAACAAAGUAUAACUUGCAUUAAAAUCAAACCAAUGCCAAAACCAUUUAAUGUUAACAUCAAACAAAGUGAAGUCAAUUUUAACAAUGUUCACGACAGCAAAAUAUGGUUAAACUAAUUAAGUAAUUUGUACCUAUCCAUCAAUUAACUAAUGUUGUAAAUGAAGAUAACAUAGUCAACUUUCACAAUAAGAAUGUCAGGGACCUCUGUUUCUUCUGGAUAAUACCAUAUAUUUCUGUAACCAGUACUCCUAGGGACCUUGCCAGGAAAUUCAAUCAACUAAUCAAAAUUUCAGUAUCUGUGGUACUUUAAUUCAUUGCUUGCUGAACUUUUUCCUAUAUACAUACACAAUCAAGGAAAUCUUACUCAUCAUGAGUCAAUAGUCACAUAACCUACAGAUACUAUGUAGAGCUUAAAAUGGUAAUGGAACUGUUUCAUAUGCAGAUCAAUUUAAGGAAUUUUAAUGUACAAGAACAUGUAAUUUAUCUUUCCGCAUAGUGAAUAUAUAAGGAAGGAUUUGUAUGUACAGAUGUAACAUUGCCACUUAUUUCAAGCACGAGCAAGUUGGAUACUAACAAUACUAUUUACUACUGCUCCUAGGUAUAAGCUUGCCUAGACAUAUGAUCAAACAGUUGGUCUGCAUUCCUAUUCCAGGAUCAUCAUUACCGAGGAAAACAUCGCUUGGUUUCCAAAUCAUUAAAAAACUCACGUCAUUUUGGCCAAGCACCUCUAUAUGUAUCCUCAAAUCAGAAUAAUACUUGAAUGACACUUGAAUUUUCAUGAAUAUAUCCACUAUGCGGUAUGACUUGCGGUAAUUACGAACUAACACUCCGUAAAUUCUACCGAUAUAUUCAUGAAAAUUACUAGCUAUCAACAUAUAAGUUACCUCUAUAGGAUUCUAACAUUACGACAGGCAAAUCAAGUAUAAUGAGUUGUACUCGAAACAAGAGAGUACAUAAGUCAAACUUGCAUCAAAACUAAACGCUAACAACAAUGAAAAAUUGAAAUAGAAGGAAUAAACUGAUAAAAUAGUAGUAAACUAAUUAGUUAAACAUGUCAAACCAGUGUCGAAAUCGUUUGGACUAAAUUCAAACAAAAAAAAGGUGCCAAAACUUGAACUGAAAAAAUAGAAUUUAUAUACUACUAGCUUACAAAACAUCUCAUUUCUUGAGGACAUAAUCAAAUCUUUGAAGGCAUGGAUUCCCCUAGUAUAUGUAUCAGUAGCAACUGCGAAAGAUUAUGGAACAAAUUACUCUAUAUUACUUAACACUAUAUGAGGGAAAGACAAGAAAGGACUGAAAAUUUAGGAGAUAACUUAUGUGACAUCUGAACUAUCGAAAUUCUUUAAUGUUUGGCUGAUUAGUUGCUUUCAGUUGUUCUUCUUCAUCAAUUAAUCAUAUCACAGUAUUCUUCAAAACUACCACUUUAAUGAAAAUCCAAAAGUCUAGUCCUUUAAGAAAACAAUAUUGGUAGGCUAAUUAAAAUAGUUAGUACCUGUAGUUCAUGUAAUUGGAGUUAGAAAAGUUGCUAGCAGAAUCAAUUCUCACAAUAAGAAUGCCAGGGAUCUUUGUUGUUUCUUAUAUUGCAGUAUCAUUCUGUAAACAAUAGUGUCAAGAGAUAAAAGAAAUUCAUAGGCAAUCAAUUUAUUUAAGCUGUGAGUUUAGACUUAUAUCUCAAGUUUUUAUUUACCUAUAGCCAUAUAGCCAGAUGUCAUUGAACUAACCAUGUUCAUUUGUUCUGAAGGCUACCAUUUUUUUGUUUCAAUCCAACUGGAUUCAAUGCUGCAAAUAUUCUUCAAUGGUUAUAGCUUCCUAUAAUAAAAAGUAUGUUACUAUAUAAAUUAAGUCAUCUCUAAAAAGAAUGUCUAGCCAAAAAAGUUAAUAAACAUAACUUACUCCUCAAUGCUAUCAUACAGCUCACCAGACCUUUGCACUGGUGGAGGAUUUAUCUUGCGAUGGAUGUGCAUCACCUUGACAUUAUAAACAAAAUGCAAGGCACAACAAAAAAAUUAUUGACCAACAAAAUAAGAAUCAUUAAAAUUUGAUUUCAUGUUAUUAAAUUCAACUAUCUAAAGCAACAUUAAAGAGCAAGGCAGAAAAGCCCACACUCGUAGAGCCCUUAUUGCACAAGGAUAGAAACAACUUGUCUGUCAAAGGAUAAGAGUGGUGGCCAGGUUGCUCCGGUAACUAAUUCAUAGAUAAAUUGCUCAAAAGUACUAUUGAAAUAGUUCUGGAUAAACAAAGUCCAAACACAUUUGUACAUGUAAACAAAAAUACAGAUAACUCCAAUCAUCCUUAAAGAUAAAAGAUCUUCAAAAUACUACCUAAUACAAAUACACAACCUCUCAGUAGUGAUCCUUCUUUUCAAAAGCCCGCACUCAUUUCCUCCACAACGACUCUUAAAAGGGUAAGACUUGCGAUCGAACCUCGAAAACAGAGGAACCCACACAACAAUUGAAGCAAAAUAUAACCCAGUACUUGUAAUAAUAUAUUGAUCAAAUUCUAAAGGCAUAUCGAGAAUAAUUUCGGGUACGAACUCUACAUUAGAAAGUAAACAAAGACGAUUUAGAGCAAAGAAGAGUAUGAUAAAGUACAGACCUUUAUUGUUCGGAUUGCGCCGAAUUAUUUUGUAGAGAUGAUGAUGACGAGAGGGAAUUGAGCCCUGCUAUUAUGAAAAAGGAAACUAAACCCUAAUUUGUGAGUUGAAGAGAGGGAACUAAUUGUGGGCUUGGGAAAAAAAGCGGGGGAAAGGAGAGGGAAUUUUUCCCGAUUCCAUAAAUUUGAGUCUAAUAUCCAAA